rnacentral:rRNA from 1 species
CCUACGGGAGGCAGCAGUAGGGAAUCUUCCGCAAUGGACGAAAGUCUGACGGAGCAACGCCGCGUGAGCGAUGAAGGCCUUCGGGUCGUAAAGCUCUGUUGUUAGGGAAGAACAAGUGCUAGUUAAAUAAGCUGGCACCUUGACGGUACCUAACCAGAAAGCCACGGCUAACUACGUGCCAGCAGCCGCGGUAAUACGUAGGUGGCAAGCGUUGUCCGGAAUUAUUGGGCGUAAAGCGCGCGCAGGCGGUUUCUUAAGUCUGAUGUGAAAGCCCCCGGCUCAACCGGGGAGGGUCAUUGGAAACUGGGAAACUUGAGUGCAGAAGAGGAAAGUGGAAUUCCAAGUGUAGCGGUGAAAUGCGUAGAGAUUUGGAGGAACACCAGUGGCGAAGGCGACUUUCUGGUCUGUAACUGACGCUGAGGCGCGAAAGCGUGGGGAGCAAACAGGAUUAGAUACCCUGGUAGUCCACGCUGUAAACGAUGAGUGCUAAGUGUUAGAGGGUUUCCGCCCUUUAGUGCUGAAGUUAACGCAUUAAGCACUCCGCCUGGGGAGUACGGUCGCAAGACUGAAACUCAAAGGAAUUGACGG